GUGUCAGCCGCCGCGGUAAUACGUACCGUCCAAACGUUAUUCGGAAUCACUGGGCUUAAAGAGUUCGUAGGCGGCCCAGAAAGUUGGGUGUGAAAUCCCUCGGCUCAACCGAGGAAUUGCGCUCAAAACUACUGGGCUAGAGGGAGAUAGAGGUGAGCGGAACUGAUGGUGGAGCGGUGAAAUGCGUUGAUAUCAUCAGGAACACCGGAGGCGAAGGCGGCUCACUGGGUCUUUCCUGACGCUGAGGAACGAAAGCUAGGGGAGCGAACGGGAUUAGAAACCCGCGUAGUCC
rnacentral:rRNA from 1 species